CUUCCGCGCCGCUCCCCCGCAAAGUUUGCGGCCGGCCUCCUCGGGCAGGGAACGCCCGCCAGCCGCUGAGGGGCCUGGGGUAGGCGGACGACGAGCGGGCCGGUCCCACUGAGCGCCGUCCGACUUGGGGCGCCCCGUGACAGCCAUUUUGGGGUCAGCCCCCCGGCUCCCGCGAGCCCGCGCUCCGGGAGCGGGACGGAACACCCGGGGCACGGGCGGAGCAGAGCCCCGCGAACAAAGAACUUCUCGCCCCGCCGGAGUGAUUUCUCUAGCAUACAACUGAGAGCUGAGUAUCACUCUGCUGGACACAAUAGUUGUGAAGCUAAAAGAUAUUACUUACUACAUCAAACUUAUUCCAGGCCUCCUUUCUUGCAACUGGGCAGUAACAUGCUGCUGAUCUGCUCAGGAACUGCUGGUGACAACCCAACAUGAGGUGACCUGCUGAGGCCAGUAGCUGGGCAGUAAAGGCAGCACUUCUUUCAGCAUCCCUCCACAACCACCUGCUCUGCCGAUGCAGCAGAAAAGCAACCGCUCUUUUUCAGUCUGUGUGAGGAGAUAAUAGAGAAAUGGAACACAUCCAGUGAAAACCACCAGCCAUCCUUGAGAAGACCACAGAAGUCAGACAGAUGCAGGCUCACUUAGCUGGACUUGGGAAAAACUACUGAAAAGAACUUUUCCAGAAUUCAACCCCUGUAUUGUGCAAUGGAGGAUUACGAAGUCUCUGAGAACACACUAGCAGAGCUUGCACACCACUCAGAAAUGCCUAUAUAGCAAAAACAAAGGACGGGGUUUUGCAGAGUGGUCAGCCAGAGAGAUAUUUGUUGAUGAUGUAAUACUUGUAACUUGAUGAUCUGCUUGAGAAACAUGAAGAAGUUCCUGGAAGUUUUUAAACCACCUUGGAGCAUGCAAGUUUAUUUGUAGCUGAACAGUUCAAAUAAAUCCAUGUU
rnacentral:lncRNA from 7 species